rnacentral:rRNA from 1 species
CCUACGGGAGGCAGCAGUGGGGAAUCUUGGACAAUGGGGGCAACCCUGAUCCAGCCAUGCCGCGUGAGUGAAGAAGGCCUUAGGGUCGUAAAGCUCUUUCGCCUGUGAAGAUAAUGACGGUAGCA